GAUGAACGCUGACAGAAUGCUUAACACAUGCAAGUCAACUUGAAUUUGGGUUUUUUCACUUAGAUUUGGGUGGCGGACGGGUGAGUAACGCGUAAAGAACUUGCCUCACAGCUAGGGACAACAUUUGGAAACGAAUGCUAAUACCUGAUAUUAUGAUUAUAAGGCAUCUUAGAAUUAUGAAAGCUUUAUGCGCUGUGAGAGAGCUUUGCGUCCCAUUAGCUAGUUGGAGAGGUAACGGCUCACCAAGGCGAUGAUGGGUAGCCGGCCUGAGAGGGUGAACGGCCACAAGGGGACUGAGACACGGCCCUUACUCCUACGGGAGGCAGCAGUGGGAAUAUUGGACAAUGGACCAAGAGUCUGAUCCAGCAAUUCUGUGUGCACGAUGACGUUUUUCGGAAUGUAAAGUGCUUUCAGUUGGGAAGAAAAAAUGACGGUACCAACAGAAGAAGUGACGGCUAAAUACGUG
rnacentral:rRNA from 1 species